CAAUAGCGUAUAUUAAAGUUGUUGCAGUUAAAAAGCUCGUAGUUGGAUUUCUGGUAGGAGCGACCGUGCCGAACUUGAUUGUUCGAGUAUUGUGUUGUCUUCAGCCAUCCUCGUGGAGAACUUUUCUAACAUUAACUUGUUGGGAUUGGGACCCGCGUCGUUUACUGUGAAAAAAUUAGAGUGUUUAAAGCAGGCAUUAGCUUGAAUACAUUAGCAUGGAAUAAUAAGAUAGGACUUUGGUACUAUUUUGUUGGUUUGCAUACCAAAUUAAUGAUCAACAGGAACAGUGUGAGGAUAUUCGUAUGAACAUGUCAGAGGUGAAAUUCUUGGAUUUUGAUCAGACGAACUACUGCGAAAGCAUUUAUCAAGGAUGUUUUCAUUAA
rnacentral:rRNA from 1 species